CCUACGGGCGGCAGCAGUGAGGAAUAUUGGUCAAUGGGCGCGAGCCUGAACCAGCCAAGUAGCGUGAAGGAUGACUGCCCUACGGGUUGUAAACUUCUUUUAUAAAGGAAUAAAGUGAGGCACGUGUGCCUUUUUGUAUGUACUUUAUGAAUAAGGAUAGGCCAACUCCGUUCCAGCCGCCGCGGUAAUACGGAGGAUCCGAGCGUUAUCCGGAUUGAUUGGGUUUAAAGGGAGCGUAGGUGGGUUGUUAAGUCAGUUGUGAAAGUUUGCGGCUCAACCGUAAAAUUGCAAUUGAUACUGGCAGGCUUGAGUACAGUUGAGGUAGGCAGAAUUCGUGGUGUAGCGGUGAAAUGCUUAGAUAUUAGGAGGAACACCGGUGGCGAAGGCAGCUUACUAAGAUGCCACUGACAUUGAUGCUCGAAAGUGUGGGUAUCAAACAGGAUUAGAUACCCCAGUAGUC
rnacentral:rRNA from 1 species